AUGUACAAUGGAAGAGAUGCUUGUAACGUUUCUGUAACAUCUGAGAGAUUACCAGUGCGCUUUUACAAUAAUCACAUCGUUAGAUCUUUACAAAAACCCUAUGAGGACUCUUCAUGGUGGUCUAACCUGGAAUCUGCAGAUUUACAUGUCCUUGUUCCUUGGAAACCCUUACAUAGUCUAUGCUACUGUCAGAGUUAUCAAAUGGAGAUGACUGAAAAUGGCACCAUAUUAUGUGAAUAUUCUCUUAUACAACAUAAAACAGAGAUCAUGUCCUUUGCAGGAACAUGGAUGGAGUUGGAGGCCAGUAUUCUUAGCAAACCAGCUCAGGAACAGAAAACUGAAUACUGCAGGUCGGACCUCUUCCCCGGAGGAGGGAAGCUUCCUGCCAGGGCCACCAAGAGCAGAGGACUCACGUGAUGAAGGCUGACCCAUUCUCUUGUGUUUGGGUUGCUGUUCCAACAUUGGCUUGCAGGUAAAAUUCACAAAUGAGACAUCUAAAGUAUCUAGUUCACAGUAUGUGUUUCCUAAAUCCUUGGUACCUUUGCUUUCAUGGGCCCCUUCAUCUGUCAUAUAUAUACAUAUGUACUUUAAGUUCUGGGGUACAUGUGCAGAUCAUGCAGGAUUGUUACAUAGGUACACACAUGCCAUGGUGGUUUGCUGCCUCCAUUCCCCCCAUCACCCACAUUAGGUAUUUCUCCUAAUGCUAUUUCUCCCCAAUCUCCCCAGCCCCUGUUAUCCUUUUUCUAGCCCCCAACCCCCCAACAGAUCCUAGUGUGUGAUGUUCCC
rnacentral:lncRNA from 1 species